GGUCUUGACUCAUCUUUAUUUUUAUUCGCACAUCCCACCCCAUCCCCUGAACUACUUGGGAGGUGGGGUGGGGUACGAGUCCAGUGUUGCUUUGGUAGAGAUGAGAGGCUGCGUUUUGCUGCUAAAGCAAGAGAAACAUGGAGCUGAAGCACGCACUUGGUCUGCCCCUAGAUUCUCCUCAAGGCCUCUGGAGCAACCAGCACUUGCCCCCUUGGAAUGCAGAGCCUGGCCUGCCAAACUGCGAUGUGGUAGGCUGAAACGAUGGUGGUAAUUCUUAGGACUACUUUUCUAGUCACAGAUGUUUUCAAAUUUCUAGGAAAAAGAAAAUGAGGCUCAAGAGGCUGCUUCGUAGAAUUCCUUUUGAAUGAAUUGAGUGGGGAUGGGGACACAGUCUCCAAGUGUGUAUGUGGUCUUUUCUGAUCUCAGCUGUGUGGCUGCAACUCUUCGCUGUUCACUGGUUCCUCUCCUGGAAAGUGGCUUCUAACCAGCACCGGAUGGUGAUCAUUGGUAAGCUCUGCUCACCUUCCUCUCUUGCUUCAUUUGGCUUUAUCAAAAAGAACAGGUGUAGCUCUGAAGUUGUUUGGCUUGGGAAAUUAUGGAUUCUUUCAAGCCACUCCCCCUAGGUGGGUCCUACUAGAAAGGGUUAGCAUUUUAAGGGGGUUGUUUUAUACACCUGUGUCCUUAUCCCAGGCUCAGGAACAUCCAGGAAGGGAAGGUGAGGUGGGGAGUCUGUACUGAGAUGGAACUGUCAGUGCUGUGUUGUAUGUACUUGCUGUUGUAAAAGUUUGGGCAUGACUUUGCAUCUAGCGGGUGCUGCCUGUAUCACUUUGUCUAUAAGCUUGCUCUGGGACUGAGACAGCCUCUUAGGACCUACGAUGCCAGCAGCUCUCAUAAAGAUGGAAAUUACAGAGGCCAAGGAUGGCCAAGUGAAGACCCAAGUCUCAGAAAACCCAGACUUGGGACAGCUGCCUGGGAACUGUAGGAUGCUAGAGCAGUUCUGUAAUGCUUUGAGACACGGCAAUUUUCACAUUGGCCAUUCUUUCCCCCUCCCCCACCCCUUUUCUUUUGAGGGACUUUUAAUGUUUGCUGCUUUAGGUGGAUGGAGAGUCCACCAGUCCCACUCAAUGCUGCUCUAACCCUACCCACACCCACAUAAUUAGGGGUGCUAAUAAAACAUAUGCUGAGGUUGAGAUAAAGACGGGACAUAAGGGGAAAAUUCAUUCCAUAGAGCUGAAAUCUGGUUUUCAAGGCCUCUGUGGCUUUCUUCUGAACUUACCACCAGCCCUGGCUGGAAUGUAGAUUGUGUUUUUAGUAACGUGUACUGUGAGCUGUCUUCUGUAUAAUGUAUUUUGUAAUGUAUUUUUCUCAUCUACCAAAGGAUGAAACAAAUAAAAUUAUUUAAAUAG
rnacentral:lncRNA from 1 species